AAAUAAGGGAAUGUAGGCUGACAAUGUCUGAUCUCGGAAGCUAAGCAGGGUUGGGCCUGGUUAGUACUUGGAUAGGAGACCACCUAGGAAGACUAGGUGCUGUAGGCA
rnacentral:rRNA from 1 species